GCCUGGGUGGCUCAGUCGGUUAAGCAUCUGACUUCAGCUCAGGUCAUGAUCUCAUGAUUCGUGGGUUCGAGCCCCGCAUCAGGCU
rnacentral:tRNA from 1 species